GAUUUUGUUGGGGAGCAGCCUCCGGCAAAGGCCAGAGUUUGUCAUUCAUCAAACCCGAAAUGUCUUGACCCUACUUGCCAUAAAAACAGUCCCUGCAGCCCCGCCUCACCGCGUUGUAUUGUGGGAGCUGCAGUUCUGCACUGUCCAUUCCUUGGCAGGAGUAAGAAGGAGGAUAAUAUCUAAUAAGAAUUUGAGGUGAAAAAACAGGCCAGAAGAGGCUUUUAGAAUGGAAGCUGGAUCAAGAUCUUUAUUUAGAAGACCUAAGCACUGAAAUGGCUGCAAGAUCACACAGUGAAAUUAAAUAAAAUGUGUGCACUUAAAUAAAAACAGUAUUGCACUGUGAAGACACAGUAAGGAAGCUCCGCGCUUGUUUCUUUCCUUUAACUAAAACACUAGUUGCUAAAAGCCUUAACUAAGAGCUAAGUAACUACAGCCCUCUCUCUGUUCUGCCCCCUUACUUUUUUUUUUCUCUUUGGUCCUAUGACAAUAUAGUAUCUCACAAUGUAGCACAGGGCUGCCUUUGAACUCAGCAUCUUUCUGCUUCAAUAUCUCGAGUUCUGAUAGGACAAACUUUUGUCACCAUGCUUUGCAAUGAUGUUUUGUUUACUAUACCAAAUAUGUAUUUAUAAAUAUGUAUAAAAUAUAUAAAAUAUAUUUAUCUAUUUGCAUAUAUAAUUUUAGAAAAACAUCUAGCAAUACUGUAGUACUGCUCAUAACUCAAGUUCUUUCAAAUUUACUCUUCCUUUUGCAGACUGUGUGAAGGAAAGGGCCACAUUGUAGUUCGUAGUAACGUCAAAUGCUUGCCUAUAAUUGUCCCACAGUUUUCCCAUUUUAAUGGUUCUCUACUUUAUCGUCAUUUUCCAGGAUUUCCCAAGAGAAUCACUUGUGUUUCUCCUUUGGAGAGCAGAGUGGUUUGUGUGUUUAUGUGUUAAGCAGAGAACGUCCCUAAUUCUGUUUCUUUUACUCUUGUCACUUGUUUUGUUUCUAUGUGUUCCUGCAUGUGUGAGGAGAUAUUCAGGCUGGUUUAAGGCAUUUUAAUUAUGUUAUGAAAAAAUUUGAAAAUGAUUGAAUAAGAGUCAAAGCAGUAGUCCCAGCACUCUGGGAGGCAGAGGCAGGCAGAGCUCCCUGAGUUUGAGGCCAGCCUGGUCUACAAAGCAAGUUCAGGACAGCCAAGUCUAUCCUGUCCCGAAAGGGGAAAAGGAGUCAUGAUCAUCAGGAUUGAAGUCAUUGGAAACUUUGGGUGGUUCAUGCCUGCUUACCUCAUGAAUUUAAAUUACUUUCUCUAUGUGGAAGGAGUAAUCCUAUUGCUUAUUGAAUUUCCAGGGACAUACGAAAAUAAGAUCAUAUGUAGAAUGUGUUGUAUUUAGCAAUUUCCAUUACCAAUGUUUGAUAUUAAUGAUGAAUUUUCAUGAAUAAAAUCACUCAUUAUCCUGCAUCUCAUUUGAAAUCAACAUUUUGGAAAUAUUAUCUGGCUGUUACAAACAUUCUGAAAGAGCAUGUAUGAUAAUCCAUGUGAGGUUGUGAUAAGGCAGUCUCUGUUAACUGCAAUGCCUCGACAUCUGCAGGACAGCUGACUCUGCCCAUCUAUGACCUGUAGUGGUCCAGGUGUCUUAGUAGUAGAAGGAGUUAUUUGUGGAAAAAUAAAUGUAAGUUUUGAACCUUC